AAAAAAAACCCGCCGCUCAAAAUAAAAACUGGAGUUUGAUAAAUGCGUGCCCGCACCGUUUUCGCAGCGAUAGCCAUUGCCACCAUGGCAUCGUCCGCGUUCGGACAAUCCCUGCCGCCGACGGUCUCAGUCACCGGCGAAGCCUCGAUCUCCGUGCCACCGGAUCUGGCGCAGAUCGACAGCGGCGUCACCACCGAAGCAAAGACCGCGCGCGAGGCUUCUGAGGCGAACAACAAGGCGAUGGGCGGCGUCCUGCAGGCGCUGAAAAACGCUGGCAUCGCCGAAAAGGACAUCCAGACCUCGCGCCUGUCGCUGUCGCCGCAGAGCACACCGGGACGCAAUCCCAACGCGCCAUUCCAGAUCACGGGGUAUCGCGCAAGCAACCGCGUCACCGUCACCAUUCGCGACAUCACCAAGGUCGCCGACACCAUCGACGUGCUGGU
rnacentral:misc_RNA from 1 species